CGAUCGGGGUGACCCGAAUCGUGUCUUCAGAAGUCAGCAGAGGUCGUAGUACCGAGCCUUGCAGUCCAAGCAAGACGGGAAGGAC
rnacentral:ncRNA from 1 species